GCUGCUGUAGCUCAGUGGUAGAGCACUCCCUUGGUAAGGGAGAGGUCGAAGGUUCAAGCCCUUUCAGCAGCACCA
rnacentral:tRNA from 1 species